GGCCCUGAGUGCCUCUGGCUCCAAAGCUUCAAAGGUGUUUACGAGUAUUAUCGGAUUGGUUUCAACGUCGAGUUCAUGAAAAUCUUGUUGAAAAUAUGGAAAAACAAAAGACAACACACUAGGAUUUGAGGUAAAUAAAAAAGAAGGUAUGUCACGUGGCGAUAGUGUGAAGGGCAAUCCUGGUAAUUCAAUGGUAUAUGAGAUUGGUGAUGAAGUCGGAGCCACGGGUGUUGAACUGUGAGGUGUAUUGAUGGAAAUCAGCGUCGGUGUUUGUGAUGGCGAUGAAACCGUCGUUGUAGCCAUCGGAGAAGGGGGUUAUGGAGAGGUUGGAGAUGGUGGUUAUGGAUGGAUUGAGGAGGAUUAAACGACGGUAGAGGUGGAGGGUGAUGGGAAGAGUGACAUGUGCACCCAUUGAUAUGAGUCGCUUGGCAAAUUGAAGGGCUGGGUUUAUGUGGCCUUGAGCUGGGUACGUUACCAGAAGGAUGCGGUGGUGGUGGUGGGACAUGAUUGCAAUGGGGAGAUUGGUAUCACGACUUGUCACGCAUGUAUGCACGUUUAUUUAUUUAUAUUAAUGGACUCACUCAACCAUUGUUUAUUUUGAUUUGGAUCUCAUAGAUACACACAAAUUAACACACGAGUGAUGAUAGUGAUAUUGAGAAGGACUUCCUCUUGGAAUGGUGAAUUUGUAAUAAGUUAGUUUUAACCUUUUUUCCUUCUAUAAAUAAAUUGGAUAAAAUAUUUUCAUCAUUAUCCUCAUU
rnacentral:lncRNA from 1 species